AUGGCUGAAGAAAUAGACUAUACUCAAGAAAGCUUAAUGUCAUCUGAGCCACAGUUAUGCAUCAUAUGCCAGGAAGACAAUAAGAAAAAUCUCAUGACAGUUAGUAAGGAUGGCUUCCAGUCAGCUGACACUGUAACACAGCUCCGGAUGAAAUUACACCAUGACAACUUCCGAGAUGCAACCAGUCGACUUACUGAGAUACUUCAAGGAGACUUGCCUCAGCAAUUCUUAUGGCAUAAGGACUGCCGAGCAAAAUACAUGAAUAAACGUGAAAUAGAAAGGAAAUUGAAGGCAGAAUUGAAAAAAGAUACCAAACCAAGUUCAUCUGCAUCCACCCCAACUCCGCAAAAUGUUACUCUACGGAGCAAAAUACCUCCAAUAGAUUGGAAGCAGUGUAUCUUUUGCCAACAAGAUCAGAAAGAAAAACUACAUUUCAUACAAGAAAUGGAAUUCAGCAGCAGAAUCCUACGAGCAGCAAAGUGUGAUUCAUUCUUAAGAGUGCGACUAGCUUGUGUAAAUGAUCUUAUAGCUGCAGAAGGAAGUUAUCACAUGACUUGCAAGACCAGGUUUGAACGUAGGAUCAAACGCAUGGAGUCACUUCCGAGCACAGACAUGCCAUUAGAGUGGAUCUGCCAAGAACUUGAACAAUCAGCAAAUCAAGCUGAUAUUCUGGAUCUUGUACAUGUGUGGGACCGGUACUCUACACUAGCUAAUGAGGCUCAAUUAGAUAUACCAUCUAGAUUUCUAAGCCGAAGGAACUCCUUCAAGGAACAAAUAGCUGAUCGUCUUGAGGGCAUAUACGACUUUGUUGUACUGCAUGAUCAGCCUCGAAAUGAACCUCGUACUGUCUUGGUUCCAUCCAAAUACCGGCAUAUUCCAGUAUCAACAAUGUUGAAAGACGACACCUCCAAUAUUCAUAGAGUUAUUCCUACAUUCAAACAUAAGGAUCAAGAUAUGUUCCUGAACAUGGUCCAUGUGGCAUUGCAGAUCCGAAGAGAUAUGAUCUCACAUCCAAAACAAGAGGGGAUAGACAUCAGUGAAAACAGAGCAAUAGACAGCAUACCCAACAGCCUGUACAUGUUCCUCAACUUGUUACUAGGUGGUCAGCGCCUGCUGGAGGAUGACGUUGAAGAUUAUGAUAAGAACACAGCCAAACGACAGCUUAGAGUCCUCAGCAUUGCACAGGAUCUUAUGUACACAGCUAGUGGAGACAAGUUCCUCACUCCGAAGCACAUAGGACUGGCCAGUACCCUUCAUCAAGCUACACGUUCAAAGGAGUUGGUGAACAUGUUUCACCAGGCAGGUCAUGUUAUGAGUUACCGUGAGGUAAUCAAACUUGACACUGAACUGGCUAAGACGACCUUGGAGACCAUGGGGGAUGAUGGUGCCGUUAUUCCACAAAAUCUGGUAACGGGACGCUUUGUUCAUUUCUCAGCGGACAAUGUUGACAUCAACGAAUACACUCUGGACGGAAAAGGGACAUUCCAUGCCACUCAAGUGGCUGCCUGGCAACGUGGUCCACCUGAAGGUGAUCUCCUUGAAGGAGUUGAUCUUUACUCCAGGUCAGACACCCUCAACAUCCCCAAGGCAAUGACUGAUAUCAUACCUGCACCAAAGAGAGGAAUCACAGAGCGGCCAGUCAGUGGUGUAUUAGCAGCAGACUGUUUCACACAGUCAUCUGAACAAUGUCCCGCAGCACAGAAAGCACAAGCUACAGACAUGGCCUCCUUCAUGUCCAGCACAUCUCAAAAACCAAAGCCUUCCUGGACAUUGUAUAAUCAAAAGGCAAGCACAGUCAACCCAGAGAAAACUACAGUAGGGUACCUACCUAUCAUCCAGGCUCCUGCAUCUGAACUCGAUACACUGAACACAGUCGUCAAGCGAGUGCUCCAUGUCUCCAAAUCAAUGGAACAACAACAUGUCAUUCUGACAGUGGAUGAGGCACUUUAUCCAAAGUUGCUAGAACUGAAGUGGUCAGUAGAAGAAUACAAGGACGUGCUUAUACCUUGCCUUGGAAGCCUUCACAUUGCCAUUAACUUCCUGGGUGUGAUAGGACAACACAUGGUUGAUUCUGGCCUGAGGGAGCUAUGGGUCAAGUGUGAUCUUCUGGGAGCAAAUGCUGCUCAGCAUGUCAUGGCAGGAAAGGGGUAUGCACGUGCUAUGAGGACCCACAAGCUUACCCUGCAGGCUCUUUGGCAACUACUACUCCCACAGCUUUACACAUAUCUGGAUGAGGUUGAUGUUACACUGAGAGCUGAACUCUAUGGACUCUGCCAGUCCAUAGAUGCUGAUCACAUCGCACAACUGGUCGACAAACUGACCAAAGACCGAUUCCAGCAGCCCAUGAAAGAGUUUUCUGCAUCACUUGCAGUUGAUGACCCGAAUGCUGCAUUCUGGUGGAACUAUAUGACUAUGGUCAGCAUCCUACUCUGUUUCACAAGAGCGCAACGUGAUGGAUUGUGGGAUCUCCACCUGUAUGCUUUCAAACGUAUGCUGCCCUUCUUCUUCAGGUACGAUCAUAUAAACUACGCCAGAUGA
ensembl:lncRNA